rnacentral:lncRNA from 1 species
ACCGAUCCAAUCCAGAGUAGGGUGAUCCAGAUCGGGUAUCGGUAAAACCAAACAGCUCCAAUUUUUUUUUUUUUUGAAAUCCAAGUUUUUUUUUGCACACUUGGCUUGGCUUUUUUGGCGUCGUUACACGUGGUUGACAUUUUCUUACAUGUCUAUUGUCUUUUAAGACUAGGUGGCCUUGCCAUAUAAUAGCUUUGCACUAUGCCCUUGAUACCUUAAGUUGCACACCUUGUG